UUUGAUUCUGGCUCAGGAUGAACGCUGGCGGCAUGCUUAACACAUGCAAGUUUAACGUCUUGAUAUAAAAGUCAAGGCAGUAACGGACGGGUGAGUAAUGUGUAAGAAUCAACGUUUAGUGAGGGACAACAAUAGGAAACUUUUGCUAAUACCUCAUAAUGCUACAAAGUUAAAGGAAUCCGCCUAAACACGAGCUUGCAUCUGAUUAGCUAGUUGGUGAGGUAAAUGCUUACCAAGCGACGAUCAGUAGCUGGUCUGAGAGGAUGAUCAGCCACACUGGGACUGAGACACGGCCAGACUCCUACGGGAGGCAGCAGUGAGGAAUUUUCCGCAAUGGGCGAAAGCCUGACGGAGAAUGCCGCGUGAAGGAAGAAGGCCUGUGGGUCGUAAACUUCUUUUAUCAGAGAAGAACAAAUGACGGUACCUGAUGAAUAAGCUCCGGCUAACUCUGUGCCAGCAGCCGCGGUAAU
rnacentral:rRNA from 1 species